rnacentral:misc_RNA from 1 species
UGGUUCUGGCAUCGAUGAAGAACGCAGCGAAAUGCGAUAAGUAAUGUGAAUUGCAGAAUUCAGUGAAUCAUCGAAUCUUUGAACGCACAUUGCACUCCUUGGUAUUCCGGGGAGUAUGCCUGUCCGAGCGUCAUUUCACCUCUCAAGCUCACAGCUUGGUCUUGGAUCAUCAUCGCUGAAAAGCGGUAUAUUCGAAAAUGAGUGGCAGUUUGUCGAACUUCAGCGCAGUGAAAUAUAUUCGUCAUGAAGCUUUUACAAUCUUGCUAGAAUAUAUCAAACAUCUUGACCUCGGAUCAGGUAGGGAUACCCGCUGA